GCGCGGGACGCUCAAUCCGCCCAAAUCCGCGGGGCCCCGCCUCCUGCCCGGGGUGACCUGGGUUUCCCCGCGCGCAACGCCCGACAUCUUCCGCUGUGCGGCCUGAGCUCAGGGGACCCUGGCAGCCUCGGGCAAGGGUCGUGCGCGCGGAGGUCCCGGUGCAGGGCGCCGUGAACGCGGCCGCCCCCCAGCCCGGGUCUGGCGCCCGCCUACUCGCCGUUCCGCUGGCGGCGCCCUUAGCUCAGACCCUAACGUCAGGCGCCGCGCCCCCGCGUCUGUCGCCUGGGGCUGAGCAGCCGCUGCCCUCGGGACCGGCCGUUCGCCGCGGCCAGGGCCCCUGCAGCCCUCCAGGCUUUCUUCCCUGCAUUCAGCCCCGCGCUGCUUCUAGGAGACUUUCAUCGCCACAGGCAGAUGCCCGGAUCAGUGACGACCAUGAACUUUAAAACCCUGAGGGGCCCCUGCUUCUGUCCUCUAGGCCGCGAAUAAAUGGCUGUGGGAGGCCAGCCCCGGGCCCUCCAUCCAACUCUUAUUAUCCACAGUAGUUACUUGAAAGCUUUGUUUUUAGUAUCAAAUUAAAAAAAUAUAUCUCUUAAUGCGCCUUCCUGGUUUGCUGGCGGCAGAAGCCACUGCGUGGUCAGAGGCCACAGGGCUGCACCACUUGGUUUUCUCUUUCCCGAGUCCCGCUAGGGGAAUCCCGGGGCUGGGCGCCGGAAGUGCUGGGGAUUCCUGCCAUCCCCACGCACAAGGUCAAGAUCUCUGGCCAGCGGCCCAUCCCAACUCCCAGGACCUCUAGGCCUGCAGAGGCCCCCAGGGACCCACCCACAGCGCCUGGGACCCUCCGGCUUCCCCACCAACCCCGUCAAGCAGCCACUCCUUUCUGGCAAAGGAGCCGCCUGUGGAGACCAGGCCCCUUCCUACCCAUGGACAGUAUUUCUGGCCGCAGUUGCUGGGUGACUAGUGGAGGGAGGGCUGGGUACAGGGAGUACCCAGGUGGGUGGGCCAGGUGGGCUGGGCGUGGCAGGGAAGGGGCCAGGCAUUGUUUCAGCUGGGGCAGAGGGGCGGGACUGGGCUUGACUCUGCCUAGGGAACAUGAAGAGAGUGUCUCCUCGUGUCCAGGGUGUUCAGAGACCGACGAAUCUGGGGUCGCUGUGGUGGGGGAACGUGUCCUGAGGUCCAAGCCACUUCCUGAGGAUUCUCCACAGAGAAGGCUGAAUGAUUUCAGACAUCUGGGUGCCGGAGUCAGAGAUGGUUCUGCCAAAACUUCCUGAGUGUAAAAUCCGGAUUGGAGCCUGCUGGCUUGGGAACCCUCUUCCUGCAUGAGCUUCCCAUGUCAGGCCGCAGUAGCCCACCAGGUGUGUCCUCACUGAAUGCUGAAGGUAGAUCCCUGGCAGGGUGGCCUGGUGGGUGAGCUCUGUCCCCAGGAAGCCCCAACUGUGAGUACUCCCCUCCCACACCCCCACUCUCAGACCCCAUAGAAAGCAAAGGUCAAGGGUGAGUGUUUGGAAACUGAGCAGUGGCUUCCCUGCUAAGAGGAGUCCGUGCUUGGAGGCCUAGAGAAGAUGGUCCAAUUCCAUAGCUGCUCCUCUUCUUUCAGGCGAGGUCUCGAGUGAAACAUUUCCAGUACUCAACUGUGCUGUUUAAUUUGGUUCUUUUCCUCUGGUCCUCUGAGUGUUGAUCAGAGCAGAAGAUUCUCUCCUGGCCUUUCUGAGGUGGCCCAUCCCUGCCUGUGUUGUACUGAGUUUAGGAGACUCAUCGCUGCUAUCCGCAUACCCAGAGAUACAGUUGCUGUCAGCCAAGAAGGGUCAUUUUGCCACAUGAGAGCCUGAUGGUCGGAGGAGCAGCUGGUGUGCAAGAAUCUGGACUUGUGCAGUGAAGGCAACGCCGGCACCAAGCUCCCUAUCUGUUCAUUAACUGAGGCUGAGUGAGCUCCUACAGGCAGGAAAGACGCCUGAGCUGCAGAGUCAGGUGUAGCCCCAAGUAACAUUGUGGCACUGACAACAUCCAUCUGCUGUACUCCGUGUCCCUGGCCAUGGCCUCUACUGGAAAUUUCUGCCCAGUGUUCCAGAUGUCCAGCUCCUAUACUGACAGCCCUACUCCUGCUGAUCUUUUUCUGUUCCCUUCCCCAGCCCAAGGAUUGACCCUUCCCUUUGUUCUGUCUCCAACAGUGGCUGGGCCAGGACCACCAUUGUUACUGUCUGGAUUUUAACUUGAGCCUGAACUCCCAUGGGUUUGUCAAAUGAGGUGAGAGAAGUUAAA